rnacentral:lncRNA from 1 species
GACUAGUCCCCAGACAAAUGAUGCAUGGAAUUUGUAUCUGUGUGUUGCCAUGCCGACGCCGUGCACAGAUUGCUCAAGAUUCAGCAGGACUUGGCAGGGACCUUUUUGCUUCCCAGAGACUCAAUGACAGUUUCACCUACAGAAAAAGAGUGAUGCCAAAGCAGGUCGUUAGAGUUGCUACGGUGAUGGAAGGCUAUCACCAAAAGGCUCUGUUAAAAACACACCACUGCCCCAAGGACUUUCCAGAGGGCUGCUCUGAAGGUGGCAGAGCCAGCAUCUGCAGCCUCCCCAACCGCACGAGGUCCAGGGGUCCAUGAGCUAUUCCUGCUUAAUCCUCACUGAAGGGGGAAGAACAAUUUUAGUGCAUAGUAAAGCAUUUGUUUAAUUCCUCUUAGGUGCAUGGUGCAUUUUAAUGAAUAAAAUAUUGGAUUACCUCA